rnacentral:lncRNA from 1 species
UCCCGUGGAAAAGGAGACCCCAACGCCAAGGUAACUUAAUUGAUAAGGAGCUCCUUUAAAAAUUAAAAAAGAGAGAGAAAUAUAUUAAAAUUAUUAACGAAAUUAUGAAAAUUCAUAUAAUAUCAAUUAUUAAUUAUUAAAAAUAAAUAUAAAAUGUAAUAGUACAAUUGUACGGAAGGAGGCUCUGGCUUCUUCUUUGGUCAAAAAGGACAAUAAUGAAGAGUCCUUUUAAAGUCGUC